CCUUGCCAGCCCGCUCAGAAACUCAAAGGAAGUUGACGGGGCCCGCACAAGCGGUGGAGUAUGUGGUUUAAUCGAUGCAACGCGAAGAACCUUACCUGGUCUUGACAUCCCGGAGACCCUUAGGAAACUAGGGGGUGCUUCCAUCUGGAAGAAUCUGGAGACAGGUGCUGCAUGGCUGUCGUCAGCUCGUGUCGUGAGAUGUUGGGUUAAGUCCCGCAACGAGCGCAACCCUUGCCUUUAGUUGCCAGCAGUUCGGCUGGGCACUCUAAAGGGACUGCCGGUGUUAAACCGGAGGAAGGUGGGGAUGACGUCAAGUCCUCAUGGCCUUUAUGACCAGGGCUACACACGUACUACAAUGGCCGAUACAAAGGGCAGCGACACUGCGAGGUGAAGCCAAUCCCGUAAAAUCGGUCUCAGUCCGGAUUGGAGUCUGCAACUCGACUCCAUGAAGUUGGAAUCGCUAGUAAUCGUGGAUCAGCAUGCCACGGUGAAUACGUUCCCGGGCCUU
rnacentral:rRNA from 1 species